rnacentral:rRNA from 1 species
AGUGAACGCUGGCGGUAGGCCUAACACAGGCAAGUCGAACGGCAGCACAGGAGAGCUUGCUCUCUGGGUGGCGAGUGGCGGACGGGUGAGGAAUACAUCGGAAUCUACUUUUUCGUGGGGGAUAACGUAGGGAAACUUACGCUAAUACCGCAUACGACCUACGGGUGAAAGCAGGGGAUCUUCGGACCUUGCGCGAUUGAAUGAGCCGAUGUCGGAUUAGCUAGUUGGCGGGGUAAAGGCCCACCAAGGCGACGAUCCGUAGCUGGUCUGAGAGGAUGAUCAGCCACGCUGGAACUGAAACACGGUCCAGAUUCCUACGGGAGGCAGCAGUGGGGAAUAUUGGACAAUGGGCGCAAGCCUGAUCCAGCCAUACCGCGUGGGUGAAGAAGGCCUUCGGGUUGUAAAGCCCUUUUGUUGGGAAAGAAAUCCAGCUGGUUAAUACCCGGUUGGGAUGACGGUACCCAAAGAAUAAGCACCGGCUAAUUUCGUGCCAGCAGCCGCCGUAC